CCUACGGGUGGCAGCAGUGAGGAAUAUUGGUCAAUGGACGAGAGUCUGAACCAGCCAAGUAGCGUGAAGGAUGACUGCCCUAUGGGUUGUAAACUUCUUUUAUAUGGGAAUAAAAUGUUUCACGUGUGGGAUUUUGUAUGUACCAUAUGAAUAAGGAUCGGCUAACUCCGUGCCAGCAGCCGCGGUAAUACGGAGGAUCCGAGCGUUAUCCGGAUUUAUUGGGUUUAAAGGGAGCGUAGGUGGAUUGUUAAGUCGGUUGUGAAAGUUUGCGGCUCAACCGUAAAAUUGCAGUUGAAACUGGCAGUCUUGAGUACAGUAGAGGUGGGCGGAAUUCGUGGUGUAGCGGUGAAAUGCUUAGAUAUCACGAAGAACUCCGAUUGCGAAGGCAGUUCACUGGACUGCAACUGACACUGAGGCUCGAAAGUGUGGGUAUCAAACAGGAUUAGAUACCCUUGUAGUC
rnacentral:rRNA from 1 species